UCUCUCUCUCUCUCUCUCUCUCUCUCUCUUUUUCCUUUCCUUUCCAAUUCAGGACCCUUGGUGAGCAGCACCUAAACACAGAGGCAGCUGCAAGCUUCCUACAUGUGGUGCAGCUCAGGGCGAACUCACAUGAAUUUCAGUUAAGCAGGACCCCUAAGGCUGCUCAGGGAGAAAGAACUCAGAAGUCUGACAUGCAGGAAAAAGGAGACCAUCAAGCUUCAGAUGGUCAUGCAACGUGGUUUCCAGCCAGUUCCAAGUGAAGAGACUGCCCCGGUCAUCAAAGAACUACCUGCCUCCACUAAACAGAGCAGGGCAAGUGUUCCACGGUCCUCAAUAGAUAGGAACCAGCAAGAAGUGGUUACAGAAGAAAGACCAUCUGUUUCUCCGCCUCUAAAGAUUUAUGGGGUCACAUCUCUCAGGGGGGAAAUGAGGCAGGAGAAUAUGGUCUGGAGGCAGGGGACCUAAGGCCAAUUCGCGCUGACUUCCUAGAACUGAAUCAAAUGAAACGCUUCAGCUAUGACAGAGCAUAUCAUCUCCAUUUGCACAGGGCGUACACGAGUUAGCAAUGGAAACCUCUAGAGGGCAUUUAACCCCUGAAAAUUCUGUAAUGGGGUUCUUGAGCCCUAUGCCUGGGCCUGUUCCCACCCUGUGGGGUGUACUUUUAUUUUUCAAUAAAUCCCUGCUUUUCUU